GCCGAAAUAGCUCAGUUGGGAUAGCGUUUGACUGAAGAUCUUAAAGUCCCUAGUUCGAUCACGGGUUUCGGCA
rfam:Daphnia pulex DAPPTscaffold_317_Cont8615, whole genome shotgun sequence.